UGGAUUGAUGAUGACUACUGGUGGCAUAUGAGUCACUUAUGAUGCAUACGUGUCUGGAACUCUGAGGUCAAA